rnacentral:misc_RNA from 1 species
UUGAAAUCAAAGGUCCAGGUUGUUGCUGGCCCCCAGGGGCAUGUGCACGCCUGCGAUCGCAUCCAUUUCAUCCCUGUGCACCUUUGCGUGGGUCUGUCGGCCUUGCGGCCUUCAGAUUUGCGUUUCUUAUAAACUCUUCGUAUGUCUCAGAAUGUCUUACUUGCGUUAAUCGCAUCUUAUA